rnacentral:rRNA from 1 species
AGGAUGACUGCCCUAUGGGUUGUAAACUGCUUUUGUCAGGGAAUAAACCUUUCCACGUGUGGGAAGCUGAAUGUACCUGAAGAAUAAGGAUCGGCUAACUCCGUGCCAGCAGCCGCGGUAAUACGGUAGGAUCCAAGCGUUAUCCGGAUUUAUUGGGUUUAAAGGGUGCGUAGGCNGUCCUAUAAGUCAGUGGUGAAAGACGGCAGCUUAACUGUCGCAGUGCCUUUGAUACUGUACGACUUGNAUCUAUUUGAAGUGAGCGGAAUAAGACAAGUCGCGGUGAAAUGCAUAUGAUAUGUCUUAUAACUCCGAUUGCGAAGGCAGCUCACUAAGUUAGUAUUGACGCUGAUGCACGACAGCGUGGCGAUCAAACAGGAUUAGAUACCCUGGUAGNCCACGCCCUACACGAUGAUAACUCGAUGUUUGCGAUACACAGUAAG